CAAGAGACCCUUAAUAAAGACAAGUAUGAGGAAAGAAGAUGUUUUUCAUUUAAGUGAUCAAUACUUCUGUGAGGCAAUCUCAGAAUGUACCAGCUCUGUUUUCUUACAGCAGUAGUUAUCAACUGGGGCAACUGCAAUGGACAGGCAAGCCUCACUCAGGACACAGCACUCACGGUGCUGCAGGGACAAAGUGCUCAGCUAACCUGCACAUUAAGUAACACAGACAAAAUUGGUUCUGAAUAUUUCAACUGGAUCCAGCAAAAACCUGGACAUGCACCAAGGCUUGUUUAUUACAACUAUCAUAAUGGAAACAAAGAGGGUAGAGGUCUUGGAAUACCAGAGAGAUUUACUGGUUCUAUUGAUACAUCAAACAAUGUGGGUCGCUUGGGCAUCUCUAAUGUCCAGACUGAAGACAAUGCUGAUUAUUAUUGUGUCACAUGGGUUAGCAGUGGUAAUGUACCCACAGCAUUAUAAUCUAAGAGAGAAGUGAAACAAAAACUUUCCAGUCAUUAUUGGUAUGUUUUAGUUUUCUCACAGACUGCUGACCUGAAGUAAAUAAUUUGAUAUUAAAUAAACGGGAACAUAAGAAUUUAAAAAGCUGCUGUACUAAAUGUUGAGAGAUUAUGACUGUUAUUUACAUCAUUUUUAUUAAUUUGAUCCAUGAUGCUUAUCUAAAACUGGGACACAGUUUCUAGUUACACCAACUGGGACACAGUUUCUAGUUACACCAGUCAGUGUGCUCCCAAAAUGUCUGUGGAAGUGACUGCCAGUUUACUGUAAUUCCUGACACUGAUUAUAGAUUAUAGGCAUUAUUUCACUAUAUCACUUACAGCAGACUUGAAGUGAGUUAAGUUUUGCCCCUGGUACCUACAGUGUAAUAAAUGCUGACUUCUGGUCUGAUAAUAAUACUAAUUCAG